AGUAGAGAAGAAAAAUGCGCAAAUAUCCUUUGAUCAUUAGCGGGAUUCUCUAUUUCAGUCUUUGCUACAGUUAGGCAACCUAUUCUGCCUUUUCCAGCACCACUCAGUUAUAAACUUCACCUUAUAAUUAACUAAUAUAUGCACAUGAAUUAUCUUAUUAACCGGAGUAAUGCAUAAACUAUUUCAGGCAUUCUCGCUUUCAGGACUACUUUACUAUCCCUAUCCGAGAGAUGACAGCAAUCUGACAGAGUUCCAUUGUUAAACAUCAUCCAUAAAUUUUGAAUGGCAAGGAUCAAGGCGCUCAAGAAACGCAACAACCAACAGUAUACUCUGUGCCUUAAAUGAAUAACAGCUAGAUGAUUCCAUAGUAAGAAAUUUUGCGACUUCCAUCUUUCCUACCUGCCUAUGUUCAAUGUAUUGGUCAGAUAACCUUCUCCACUCACUUAAAAAACCAUUUUCAGGGACCACGCUACAGACUAAAUAUUACACUUCCUGAGUUUUUCACUAAGAAAAACUGGUGGUAUCUAGCUUGCACUAAAUGCUGCAAAAGAAAAAUUCUCGACGGAGAUGCAUAUAAGGGCAAGAAAUGCUCAGGUGUAACCGUAGGCCCAAGGUACACCAAUACUAUUAGAAGCCUUCUUCCUACUCUAUCUUUGCAGAAGCUAACCGUAGAAUAUAUAAAGCUUCCUAGAUACAAGGUUGCGGACAAUCCAUAUAUUUUAGAGCCCAAGGAGUCCAAAUAGCAAGCAUAUGUGAAAUGCCUCUUGUGGGAAAAUGCAACAGGCAACACAAACUACAGCCAACCAGAGUUAUCAGUGCCUAUUGCCGGCAAGGAAAAUGCCAUCACUGAUGUCUCCUAACUCACUAGAGUAAAGUAAUCUAAUUUUCGAUAUUGUGGGAGUUGAACAUAUCACUGACCAAACUGCUGGCGGCAGGAAAAAUAUGGGCUUCGUGCCACCGCAGAAGUAAGUGAAGAUACCAGCUUGCAAACCACCCCUCGAACAGAAGGGCAAGAAGGGGCCACAUACAGCUAAAAGCAGUUGUUAGUCGGUUUUUCAUGUGGCAGCUGGGUCAAGAGUUCGGCUCCAAAGUGUGUGGCUCCAAGGUGCUCUAUGCCGAACCCUGGGGCAAUAUUUCUAAUUAUUUUUCGACUGGGGACAGAGAUGGAAGUCUGAGUGGAGGCAAUGCAGAUCCAGUAUAUUGACUAGGAAUUUUUCUCCACUUUCCUCCACACUUAUCUUUGUUUUGUAAGUACAGAUCAUGUUAAUUAACGUGAUGUUUAUAGUCCAGAAUUUCUAAACCGAAUGAAGGGUUCUUAUUGGUAGCUGGCUGGCAAUGCUCUUGUUUCACUAGAAUAUUAAUACCAUUUUUUGUCACAGCUAAGGCCAUAUUCUAUAACUUCUAUGACCUAGCAUAGUGUUUAGCUUCUCACCAUGCUUUGUAUUUUAGAAUAUUCGCAACCUGUCAUACUUUACUAGAACUACAUUCGUAAGCAAUGGAUGCUCAUGAACUGUAAUAUCAAAUAGUGAUGAUAUCUUUGUAGAACAAAGAUAGGUGUGGCUG